UCCUACGAACCCCUGACUUACAUAACAGCACGACUAUGCGUGCUAAGUUGGAUCUGCUUUACGGUCCUAACUUCGCUAUAACGUCGACUCAUAUUAAUCCGCGUUAUUGAUUAUUUACCGUUCUCGCUGUCGACAUAUAAACUGUGGCAUUCUUUCAGUAUCCUCUCACUCGGUGUGGUGAUCGCAGACUCCAGAGGGUUUGCCACAGACCGGAGCUUUCUGCCCGACAUUGCGACCACAGCCACCAGCCGCCUCGCUGCUGUUUCUUAAGCCAUCAGCGGAAGGGUUUCAGUGUUGCACAAGGGCUCCCGUGUGCGGAUGAAGCGACUUCUUGCGGUCAAACAGUGACACGACAGCGAGGACAGACUCAUCAUGAGCAGGCAACAGGUUACUUUUCAAGGACUUGAACCUUGGACCUGCCUCAAUUGUUUGUCUGCCGGUUUAUUGUUUUUAUUGGACACAUGACCAGGACUAAGAUGUCUGCAGAUGGAAAUCAAAUGAUGUUGUUGAUGGAUCACGUACUAAAAAAGUACUUUCUCCUUCCUAACUCUGACAGACCAUAUUAUUAAGUCCAGCCAGUUAUAAUCAGGGCCAUCAACAUUGAUCUGGUUGGAUUGGACCUGCCUGGUUUGGUCAUGUAUGAUGGAGCUAUCUGGAGUUAUGCAUUUGUUGACAGAGCCAUGGUCUGUUUGGAGACCACUAACAAGGUUCCUUGCAGAAAAUGAGCCGUACAAAGUUGUCAUAAAUCUGAUGACAGCAAUGUGCUUUCACUACGCUGUGAGUGUGAGCAUGAAACAUUAAAUGUUGUUGACCAGUCUUCUCCUCAAACUGUCCGGAUAGACGUUUAGAGGAGCUGGCAGAGACCAGUGCAGACAGACUGGGAGCCAUCACAUCUGCUGCUGGUGUGAUGCUAGUGAUUGUCGCAGCAGGUGAGAUGGUAUAGACAUCCUGACGGGGCUUCAGUUCCACAGCUCUAGCUUACAACACAAGGUGCAGGAAACGGAGACACGCUUGCUGCAUCUGGCCAGAGCGGGGGAGAAAAAGGGGUGACAUUCAAAACACAGAUCAACACCUUUCUGCCACUGAGUUAUGUAAAUCCCUCCGCUAUGUCUCAGCGGAAGGAUGAAUGUGACUCAUCAGUUACGGAUGAAAUUGAUUUUCACUCUUCACUCUCAAACCAAUUUUCACUGAGAUUUUCUGCCCACAAGCACUCAAACCUUUACGUAACAGAAAAUAGAGAGAGAGAGAACACACAUCAAAACAAUGCUAAUUAUGAGUGAGAAAGAAAACACACGACCCUAUUUUUUUUUUUCUUCAAUUUCAUAACAUUUCACAAACAUUUUGUAUCUUGACCAUAAGAAAGAGCGCUAAAUUCAUACAAUCAAACAAACGUGCCUGGAUUAGAGUUAAAGAUGCAAACCUAAAUGAGACUAUGGAGGUUGUCGGGGACAUUAAACAUAUUAUUUUCAUCCUACUCUGCUAUUGUAAUGUCAGCUGCCCACUUGUGACAUCAAAGCUUUAUUACGGUCAUUUUUGGUCAGGAACAAAUGAGGGAUUAACUCAAGUAAUGGCUCGAUUAAAGAGAAAGUCCACCCAAAACCCCAAAAGAUAUUGUUAUUUAUUAUUGUUUUUGUUGUUUAUUUGUGUUGUGAACAUACAAGUGCCCGGCCCACAUGAACUUAGGCUACAUAAAAGACACCAAAAAUAACGUUGCAGUAGUGAAACAAUAUUUAUAAAACAUAUAAGCAUUACAUUUUAAACAGACAAACAUUUACCCUCUUGCUUCCUUUCUAAAACUUAACACUAGUCUUUUAUAAUUAACCAGAAGAAGACAUGCAGAGAUUAAGAACAUUUUACAUAUAAUUGCCAACAACACAUAUAUUUUUAUUUACAAUUUCAUCUACAUUCAUAUACAAAAUAAAGCCUAUUCCCUUCGGGUGAGACCAUUAAUACUUCCUGUUGCUGAGCACACAGAGAUCUGAUUUCAAUGAUAAUGGAGUCUAGUAGCUCAAACAUGUUUUGUUUUAUAUUACACACAAAUUAGGUUUUGUUUGGAAGGAGGGCUUCUAGCUGUGAAUCACAUGGUGUUCCUAGAGCUUCUCGUCACAUGUUUCUUUUAUCUGCUGUGUGUGGAGCAGCUCCAGGAUCGGUCUGAGGGUGACAUAAUCACUGCACACUGUCUGCUGCUCACACAACUGAAUUGUACAUUUUCAGGGAGUAACAGGAGUGGGAGUAGUAGGGAAUGUGUCGGUUCUAUUUUGUGGUGGGUUUUCACUUUCUGGUUUAAAUGGCCAGACUCUGGUGUGACUCAAUUCUUGCAGGAUCAAAAGUUUUUGGCCGGUGAACACUUUGGGUGUUACGUACAGAACAGCAUGCCCCUCAGAGUGAUUAUGAGCUGAUAUUGGCAUCAAUUAAGAGCAACUGAUGUUGACUUGUACUUGAGUUUAUAAAUGAGUUGUUCUGUCAUAGACCUAAAGUUAAUCAACACAUGUGACAACCAUUGAUGUGAUUGCACAUUAGGCCAGAAACAGAAAAAUGCAUUCAUCUUUUAAAACGGAAUCAAAUUUAAUUUAUUCUUUUAUGUUCUACUGACUUGACAAUAAACUUGGGAUGAAAGCACUUAAAGCAGGCCAUAUUUAUACAUUUUUAAUAUGAUAAUAACAGUAAUUUCAAAAUAUUUAAAUAUGUAAUACUGAAAAUACUAUUUCCAGGCAGUUGUAUGACUCAUGGUGUACUCUAGUAGUCUACAGUCUUCUGCUGAUCAUAAUGUUUUCUGGCACAUGAAUGGAGAACAUUGGAAUCAUGACUGUUUUGUAGGAAUGGAUUAAAACUAGGUAUCUCACAUAAAGUGUCCCAUUCAAUUCAUUUAGACAACAAGGGCUAAAUAUUAUUUCUGUAUUUGUGUCAGCAGACCCGUCUUAAGCCUCAAACCCAUUCAGGAAUGUGCUUUAACCAGUUAAUGAGUCUCCCCCCUGCAGCUGAGAUCAUACACUUCACCUUACAAUAGGCUGCCUUUAUAUUCGUGCUUCGACUGAAGUGGAACAUCCAUUAUAAAUGGUCCAUUCAAACAUUAUACCGGAGCUUCCCAGAAAUGAACUUCGAUGAGGAGUCUGUGCAACCAAAGAGAGAGGUGAGUUUGAAUCAACCCUCGAAAACCCUGUUAACAUCUUAGGAGGAGUUACUUUGUUUUGACCUGUAGCCAGUAAAUAUUUUUGCCAUCCGGACAUCCGAAGUCAUCAUUUUAUCACUGCGAUGACAUGUAUGUGGAGCAGUGGGAGGGUUUGCUGCAGAAAAGCAGGUGUUGGGGCUUAUUUUUUAUUUCUUCAUACAUUUUGUAUUGUUAUUCUUGUUGGAUGAUGCUCAAAUGAAUAGUAGUCGGUGCCAAAGUUAGUGUAAAGAAGAAUCAAAUGUAGUCUAAAAUCUAUGUGGUACCUCUUCUUAAUGAGACACUCUUUAUAAAGGGAUUAUAAGUUGUAAAACUUUAGUAAUGGUUAAUAUAUCAUUUGUAUUCAUGUUGUGAAGAUCCAGUAAUUAGAACAAGUCAGAUCCUUUGUAUUUGGUAAUAAUGCAGGUGUACAUAUUGGUUAAUGCUUAUUGCUUUCUUACAUUCAAAUUAUUCAUGUCUUCAGUUAUUAAUGUUAAUAAGCAGUUAACAAUUAGAUUUUCCAGAAUGUAUGCUAAUUUUCCCAGCAGGUCCAUCAGAGGUGUCUUCAUGAUGAAAAAGAUAAAACAGACAAUAAUAACAAAGAAUAUCAGGGUGCAUUUCAUGACCUUUGACAGCAUGUCUGAAUGCUCACUUCACUGACUGCUCUUCUGCUCUUCUAAUGUUUGAAACAUAGGUGGAGUCAACACAUCAUGUUUACUGCUCUGAAUUAGGCCACAACAUGUACGUCUGUAUCCAACAUCCUAUAGGCCUGUGUUGCACUUUCAUGAUAUUUAAGAUGCAUGGUUAAAACACAAGUUCAUAAUAAUAAUAAUAAAUGUAUAUAUUGAGUUAACAUUAGUCUUUUUUUUAUCUCCCUGGCCUCCUCUAUAGCUGAUAGGAAACCUCUGAUGCUGUUAUG